rnacentral:rRNA from 1 species
GAUGAACGCUGGCGGCGUGCCUAAUACAUGCAAGUCGAGCGGACAAACGAUGAUCUUGCUCCUCUGACAUUUGCGGCGGACGUGUGAGUAACCCGUGGAUAAACUACCUAUAAGACUGGGAUAUCUUCGGGAAUCCGGGGCAAAUACCGCAUAAUAUAUUGAAUCGCAUUGUUCAAUAGUGAAAGUCGGUUUUGAUGUCACUUAUAGAUGGAUCCGCGCCGCAUUAGCUUGUUGGUGAGGUAACGGCUUACCAAGGCAACGGUGCGUAUCCGACAUCAGAGGGUGAUCGGCCACACUGGAAGUGAGACAGGGUGCAGACUCCUAAGGGAGGACGCAGGAGGGAAUCUUCCGCAAUGGGGGAAUGCCUGACGGAGCACCGCCGGGGAAGUGAUGAAGGUCCUCGGAUGGUAAAACUCUGUUAUUAGGGAAGAAGAAAUGUGUAAGUAACUAUGCACGUCUUGACGGUACCUGAUCAGAAAGCCACGGCUAACUACGUG